UUUUUUUUUUUUUUUUUUGAGAUGAAAUCUCACUCUGUCACCCAGGCUGGAGUGCAAUGGUGUGAUCUCGGCUCACUGCAAGCUCUGCCUCCCAGGUUCAAGUGAUUCUCCUGCCUCAGCUUCCCAAGUAGCUGGGACUACAGGCGCCCACCACCACGCCCAGCUAAUUUUUGUAUUUUUAGUAGAAACGGGGUUUCACCAUGUUGACCAGGAUGGUCUUGAUCUCUUGAUCUCAUGAUCCUCCUGUCUCAGCCUCCCAAAGUGCUGGGAUUACAAGAGUGAGCCACUGUGCCAUGCCCUUAAUAAUCUUUAUGACUCUACCUUACUUGCUUGUCUUCUCCCAUCCUUUUCAUCCUGUACUCCAAUCAAGCUCCCUGCCAUUUCUUGGUAUGAUUUGUCCUUACUCUAUACCUGCGAGGUAUACCACUUGAGUAUGUCUUUCUCCUCUUAUCCUAGCAAACUCUCACUUAGUGCCUAAGACAAGGUAUUUAAUAAUGUGAGAUCCUUUGGGUGGACUCUUCUGUUUCACCCAACCACACUGUAUAUUAAUCAUGAGUUUGUAUGGCCGUACUCUUCAACAGAGUGUUAUUGUAGCAGGAUGAGUUGUGGACGAAACCCCUCAGACACCGAGAUAGUGAAGGGAGUGGCUUUAAUCAGCUGCGAGCAUCAGCAGGCUAGCAUCUUAAAAUCUGAGCUCUUUAGGUGCUCAACUUCUGUUGCUUUUAAAGGCUCACAACUCUAAGGGGCCCCACAUGAGAGGGUCAUGAUCAAUUGAGCAAGCCAGGGGGUACUGACAGGGGCUGCAAGCACUAGUGGACAGAGUGAAACAGAACAGAACGGGAGGUUUUACAAUGUCCUUCCAUACAAUGUCUCGAAUCUAUAGAUAACAUCAGUUGCUAGGUCAGGGGUUGAAUUUUAACUACCAGGCUUAGGUCAGGCAGGCCCAGGCCUGGUUUCAGGUCCGGUUCCUAGGCACUGGGCUACCUGCCUUGAGUUUCGCUUCUCUUUCCUUUUCUGAGCACAAGGCAAUAUAAAACAAUAUGAGAGGGUCUCUCUCUUCCCUAAUUAUGUCUUCACUAGUGGGGCAUAUCCUCUUUAUCUCAUAUCCACUAUAAUUACCAUGAUCUCUGUGAUGAGUUGGAUAAUCAACAAGUAUUCAUUGCAUGAUUUAGUGUAUAAGGUCAGUUAUAACUUGUACAGUGCAUAUAUAUAUAAUAAAUCCCAUUGCAAAAUACCCUGUGAGCUACAAGAUACUUUCUACUACACUGUCUCAGUGAAAUAAUAUGAGACAAUUUGCACCCUAUUAAAUGGUACAGCUGGUAAAUUCUGAAAAGUGGGUUUUCAAAAUUAGCAGCAGCAUUCAGGACAGAUUGCAAGAAUUUGGGAGAAGAGAUAUAGAGUGAGAACUUGAAGGGUGACAGUGAAGCAAAAAUGCUUUGUGAUGCCAGAUACAAAAUAUCUUGAUCUAUUUUUGCAAAAGAGUAACUGGCUACAUCAGGGACUCAAGAGAUUUACUUCCCACACUUUACUGAAUAUGUCUAUAUCUCUUUUGAUUCAAUGCUCUUCCAUCUGAGAAGUGAAAAACUAUUCUGGUAAUAUUAAUAAUAC
rnacentral:lncRNA from 1 species